GCCUAAUAUUGCCAGCACCCACGAAGCGUUGGAAGUUGGAUGUCUAAGCUUAGUGGCGAACGGGUGAGUAACGCGUGGGUAACCUGCCCUUAUAACUGGGGUAACUUGCCGAAAGGUGAGCUAAUACCGGAUGACCUAUCAAGAUUGCAUGAUCUUGGUAGCAAAGGCGGCCUCUAUUUAUAAGCUGCCGUUUAAGGAUGGACCCGCGUCUGAUUAGCUAGUUGGUGAGGUAACGGCUCACCAAGGCGACGAUCAGUAGCCGGCCUGAGAGGGUGAACGGCCACACUGGGACUGAGACACGGCCCAGACUCCUACGGGAGGCAGCCAGUGGGGAAUCUUCCGCAAUGGGACGAAAGUCUGACGGAGCAACGCCGCGUGAGUGAUGAAGGUUUUCGGAUUGUAAAACUCUGUCUUUUGGGACGAACGGCCUUUAUGUGAAUAAUGUAGAGGAUUGACGGUACCAAAGGAGGAAGCCCCGGCUAACUACGUGCCAGCAGCCGCGGUAAUAACGUGGGGGGCGAGCGUUGUCCGGAAUUAUUGGGCGUAAAGUGCGCGUCGGCGGUUUGUUAAGUCUACCGUCAAAGCUUACGGCUCAACCGUAACAGGCCGGUGGAUACUGGCAGACUUGAGGGCAGGAGAGGAAAGUGGAAUUCCCAGUGUAGCGGUGAAAUGCGUAGAGAUUGGGAGGAACACCAGUGGCGAAGGCGACUUUCUGGACUGUAACUGACGCUGAGGCGCGAAAGCUGGGGGAGUGAACGGGAUUAGAUACCCCGGUAAUCCCAGCCGUAAACGAUGGGUACUAGGUGUAGGAGGUAUCGACCCCUUCUGUGCCGGAGUUAACGCAAUAAGUACCCCGCCUGGGGAGUACGGUCGCAAGACUGAAACUCAAAGGAAUUGACGGGGGCCCGCACAAGCGGUGGAGCUAGUGGUUUAAUUCGACGCAACGCGAAGAACCUUACCAGGGCUUGACAUCGUACGAAACACUUAGAGAUAAGUGUCUUCCUUC
rnacentral:rRNA from 1 species